GCGGCCUAUCAGCUUGUUGGUGGGGUGAUGGCCUACCAAGGCUGCGACGGGUAGCCGGCCUGAGAGGGUGUCCGGCCACACUGGGACUGAGAUACGGCCCAGACUCCUACGGGAGGCAGCAGUGGGGAAUAUUGCACAAUGGGCGCAAGCCUGAUGCAGCGACGCCGCGUGGGGGAUGACGGCCUUCGGGUUGUAAACCUCUUUCACCAUCGACGAAGCCUUCGGGUGACGGUAGGUGGAGAAGAAGCACCGGCCAACUACGUGCCAGCAGCCGCGGUAAUACGUAGGGUGCGAGCGUUGUCCGGAAUUACUGGGCGUAAAGAGCUCGUAGGUGGUUUGUCGCGUUGUUCGUGAAAUGCCACAGCUUAACUGUGGGCGUGCGGGCGAUACGGGCAGACUGGAGUACUGCAGGGGAGACUGGAAUUCCUGGUGUAGCGGUGGAAUGCGCAGAUAUCAGGAGGAACACCGGUGGCGAAGGCGGGUCUCUGGGCAGUAACUGACGCUGAGGAGCGAAAGCGUGGGGAGCGAACAGGAUUAGAUACCCUGGUAGUCCACGCCGUAAACGGUGGGUACUAGGUGUGGGUUUCCUUCCUUGGGAUCCGUGCCGUAGCUAACGCAUUAAGUACCCCGCCUGGGGAGUACGG
rnacentral:rRNA from 1 species